GACGAACGCUGGCGGCGUGCCUAACACAUGCAAGUCAACGAGAAAGGGGUAGCAAUAUCCUGAGUAAAGUGGCGCACGGGUGAGUAACACGUAGGUAAUCUGCCAUUAGGACGGGGACAACCACGCGAAAGCGUAGCUAAUACCCGAUGAAUCAGCGAAGCCGCAUGGUUUUGCUGUUAAAUACCGCAAGGUGCCUAAUGAUGAACCUGCGUCCCAUUAGGUAGUUGGGAGGUAACGGCUCACCAAGCCGACGAUGGGUAGCUGGUCUGAGAGGAUGAUCAGCCACACUGGAACUGAGACACGGUCCAGACUCCGUACGGGAGGCAGCAGUGAGGAAUAUUGCGCAAUGGACCGAAAGGCUGACGCAGCGACGCCGCGUGAAGGAU
rnacentral:rRNA from 1 species